rnacentral:rRNA from 1 species
AACGCGAAGAACCUUACCUGGGCUCGAAAUGCAGGAGACGACAUCAGAAAUGAUGUUUUCCGAAAGGACUGCUGUAUAGGUGCUGCAUGGCUGUCGUCAGCUCGUGCCGUGAGGUGUUGGGUUAAGUCCCGCAACGAGCGCAACCCUUAUCACUAGUUGCCAUCACGAAAGGUGGGGACUCUAGUGAGACUGCCUAGGUUAACUAGGAGGAAGGUGAGGAUGACGUCAAGUCCGCAUGGCCUUUAUGUCCAGGGCAACACACGUGCUACAAUGGUCGGUACAGAGGGCAGCCAAACCGUAAGGUGGAGCAAAUCCCAGAAAGCCGAUCUCAGUUCAGAUUGUGGUCUGCAACUCGACCACAUGAAGUUGGAAUUGCUAGUAAUGGCGAGUCAGCUACAUCGCCGUGAAUACGUUCCCGGGCCUUGUACACACCGACUGUAC